rnacentral:rRNA from 1 species
UACGUAGGGUGCUAGCGUUAUCCGGAUUUACUGGGCGUAAAGGGUCCGUAGGUGGUCUUUCAAGUCGGCGGUUAAAGCCUAUGGCUCAACCGUAUUAAGCCGCCGAAACUGGAAGACUUGAGUGCAGGAGAGGAAAGUGGAAUUCCCAGUGUAGCGGUGAAAUGCGUAGAUAUUGAGAAGAACACCAGUAGCGAAGGCGGGUUUCUGGACCGAAACUGACACUGAGGGACGAAAGCGUGGGGAGCAAACAGG